UCACCUCACAGUGUGAAUGGCGUGUGUGUUGUCUGUAUGUGUGUUAGAGUUUUGUAACUGCGUGAUUGAGUGAGUGUUUGUUGUAUAUGCGUUGUUUGUUUGUGAGUGAGUAUUUGUAUUUAAAUCUACACAGUGAUCUUAUUUGAUCUGGUCUGGGUUUGGCUCUGGUCCGAUCAGAGAUGAUAGUAAAAGUGCGCUCGAGCCUUCGUGGCGAUGAGCAGCUCGCGAGAAUUCACCUUCAGGGCCUCCACGCUUCAUGUUGUGGUCAGAGAUGAUGAAUUGAUCAGAUAUACUAGUUCUGAAUGAGUUUGGGUUAAUCCCAAACUCACAAUGGACCCUGAGUAAAGAGGCGAUUCUGAUCUAA